GAUGAAGAACGCAGCGAAAUGCGAUACGUAAUGUGAAUUGCAGAUUUCAGUGAAUCAUCGAAUCUUUGAACGCACAUUGCGCCCGCUAGUAUUCUGGCGGGCAUGCCUGUUCGAGCGUCAUUUCAACCAUCAAGCCCUAGGCUUCCGUUGGAGCCCUGCGGCUGCCGCAGGCUCCCAAAUCCAGUGGCGGGCUCGUCGUCGUACCGAGUGCAGUAAACAUCCUCGCUCAGGGAACGUGACGGGUUCUUGCCGUGAAACCCCCCACAUAUCAAGGUUGACCUCGGAUCAGGUAGGAAUACCCGCUGAACUUAAGCAUAUCAAUAAGCGGAGGA
rnacentral:misc_RNA from 1 species